ensembl:lncRNA
GGGAAGGCAGUCCUGGAUCAACUGCCACCGAGAGCGAAUGCACCUCUGGGUCAGUUCUUCGAUCACAAAGUCCAAAAUCCGUGUGGUCAAUUACUUGGAGGCACCGGGCCGUCCUGAAACCUUUCCUUGUCUGAGGAGGACCUGAGAUCCCAUGGAGAACUCAAGCCAAAGAGAGAACUGAGCCCAGUGAACAAUUCAGAGAGAUCACCAAAAGGAGGCCAAACGUGGAAAAGAAACAGCUUGGGGAAAUGUGUUUGCUCACAGUGCUUUUGGGGAAAAAAAAUCCACAUUUCCAUCAGCUCUUCGGGAACCCUCCUUUGGAUCACCGCCCUAGCCUGUCACCACCUCAGUAUCAGAGGCGAGCCGUAUGCUACCGUUGGCUUCGGAUUUGGAACGAGGUCACUUGGAAAAAAGCGGUCCCCAUCCUUCCCUACAAAUCCUCCCAACUUCAAAUCUGGAGGAAAAAGUGGGUGAGCAAGCUGGGCCACCCUCCCUCUCUUCCUUUCUUUUCUUCUUUCUUUCUUGUCAAAACUGGCUUCACUGAAAAUGCAGAACAUGUCAAAAUUGACUCCCUUUGCAUCAAUUGGAUUCUCUCCAACAGCACAGAAUUUCUACCAAAUAGGUUAUUUUGUCGCCUUGUGUGAUACGUGAUGCAUGACCAGUACUAACGCUGCCAAAGAAACAAGUCAAAAUUGCCUGAACUUGGAAUUUUUGAUGAAUACGUUGUUUUAGGACUUUGGAAUAUCGACAUUUCCCCUAAGAGGCUUUGAUGCUUUUUUUUUUUUUUUUUUACCAUUUUUGUAGUUCAUAAUGGAACAUCAUGCUUCAUCAUCAGUUUUGAUUUUUCUCAAAAACUGCCUUGCUUUCUUCCUUUGAAAGUUCAGAAAAAUAUCGAAGCUGUAUUUUCUGUUGAUCUUUCAAAUAAUGAGGUGCAAUCUUCACAUAAUCGUUGCUUUUGUAGAAUGAGUUCUUAAAAACUCAAAUUUUUCUUCUCCGCUAUUUUUCUCGCAAAUCACCACUUAUUUAAGUGAAUCAAGACUCUGACCACCCAGAGGCCCCCAAGGGCCCUGGGGAUGUGAAGUGGAGACCCUCACGAGACUGACCUCUGCUCCUUGACCUUCUUGGGCCAAGAAAAUUCUUGCUCAUCCCAUCAUAUCAUCAUUUCAAUGAAGCUUCUUUCACACGCUCGAAUUCAUUUAACCAUAAAAAUUUGGCAUUUUUUGGUUCUAAACAGUGCUCACUAUGGAGGCCAGCAGGAUCACUACAAUUACGGGCCCACCACAGAGCAGCCCUCGAGAGUGUUGAUGGUGUAAAAUUGCAAACAUUUGUAACACGUCACUAAUAGAAGAAAUACGCAGGUAAGCUCUGAAGAGCUAGAGAAAAGUGCCCAGGAAGGGGUACAUCUGUUCUUGGAGAAGCAGCAGAGAUGGGCGUUUCUGUGAGAGAGACAAGUAUCCAGUGAGACUUAGAAUGUGAGGGGAGGUACAGACAACCCAGCUGGCCGUAUGACGUGGAAUUUUUUAUGUGACAGCUCCAUGAGAUGUUAUUGUUCCUGGCAGAAAAGAAAGCAUCUGAAGAGUCCUAAGACAUCAAAGCUCCAGUAUUUACUUGAAAAAGUUGUCCCAGCGGAAAGAAGCCAGACACACAAAGUCACAGGCUGUGUGAUUCCAUUUGCAUGAAGUGUCCAGAGGUGGCAAAUCCAGAGACACAGAUAGCAGACUGGUGGUUUCCAGAGAAGGAUGGAGAAUGACUGCUCAUGGGCACAGCGUUUCCUUUUAGGGUGACGAAGAUGUUCUGGAACUAGGUGGGGUGACGGCUGCACAACAUUGCAAAUGUGCUACAUGUCACGAAUGGUAACUUUUACAUUGCGCUUAUUUCGACACAAUAAAAAAAGUUAAAGCAAAAAGAAAGAGAUGGGCAAGACUAAACUACUGUGAAUAAGGAUGCCCAGCGGGUGAUACAAUCGUAAGAAGCAAAACGCAAGGAAAUGGUUCCUGUCAAUGUCAGGAUGAUGAUUACUUAUUGUACUUGGGGACGUGGAGGGGCUUCUGAGAUGACUAACAAAAGUCUAUGACUGGACCUGGAUGGUUCAGAAAACAAAGGCAGAGAGAGAAAAGUGUUCCAGCAGCUUUAGACAGGAGGCUGUAAUGCAUAUUUUGUUCACUGCCUCUUUUCAUUCAUAUGUACAUGUAUUUGUUCCCAGCCUUGUCCCAGGAAAGAGUGAAAGGAGUCAAGCAAGGACAGAAGCACAUCAAGACUGUUCUGGUCUUAUAUGUCAGUCGGGUUCCUACGUGAUAGUAUUUGGCAGAAAAAGAGGCCUUUUCCCCAAAUGUGCAGACGUUCUAAUGAGACCAAAUCGUGCAACUGCCAUCGCUCGAAAACCAGAGAUUACAUCUUCCUCUCCCUCAACGUUUUUGUUUUCAUUUUUUGGGGUUUUUUGGUGAGGAAGAUUGGCCCUGAGCUAACAUCUGUGCCCAUCUUCCUCCAUUUUAUAUGUGGGAUGCCACCACAGCAUGGCUUGAUGAGCAGUGUGGAGGUCCGUGCCUGGGAUGUGAACCUGCAAACCUCGAGCCACCAAAGCAAAACACACGAACUUAGCCACUAUGCCACCGGCCUGGCCUCUUUCCCUCAACAUUUUUAAAUCUCACUUCUUUAUCAUGAGCCGGGUUGGAAUGACUCCUUAGAUGUGAAGAUGCAUCUUACAGAUAUGGGUGAAGCACGUGGUAUUAUGUUUUAGUUUUUGAGUAUUUGAAGUUUUAGGGCCAAAAUAGUGUUGGGCCAUCAGUCAGGGAAACGUGUGGAAUGUGGGCGGUACAUCUCUAAGGUAAAACGUGGGCCAAUUAAACUGAGAUGAAAAUGGGCUAACGUGAGAAUUUCAAAAGCAACAGGAAACCUUAUACGGGAAGAAUUUGCAUUCACGUGCACAGACGCCAAGGAUACGGAGGAAAAAAUCACAGACAGUCUCGCUGAGGUAGGACAGUCGAAACUAUGAAGUAAAGAGACUUACUAAGGAGAUGUGUGUAGUUAUUUAAAAAUCCUUGGACUUCCACUC